GAUGAACGCUAGCUACAGGCUUAACACAUGCAAGUCGAGGGGUAACGAGAGGGAAGCUUGCUUUCCUUGUCGACGACCGGCGCACGGGUGAGUAACGCGUAUCCAACCUGCCCCCAACUAAGGAAUAACCUUGCGAAAGUAAGACUAAUACCCUAUACUUUCCUCAGAUGACAUCUGACGAGGAAUAAAGAUUUAUCGGUUGUGGAUGGGGAUGCGUCUGAUUAGCUUGUUGGCGGGGUAAUGGCCCACCAAGGCAACGAUCAGUAGGGGUUCUGAGAGGAAGGUCCCCCACAUUGGAACUGAGACACGGUCCAAACUCCUACGGGAGGCAGCAGUGAGGAAUAUUGGUCAAUGGGCGGAAGCCUGAACCAGCCAAGUAGCGUGCAGGAUGACGGCCCUAUGGGUUGUAAACUGCUUUUAUACAGGAAUAAAGUUAGCCACGUGUGGUUAUUUGUAGGUACUGUAUGAAUAAGGACCGGCUAAUUCCGUGCCAGCAGCCGCCGCGG
rnacentral:rRNA from 1 species